UACGUAGGGUGCAAGCGUUGUCCGGAAUUAUUGGGCGUAAAGAGCUUGUAGGCGGUUUGUCGCGUCUGCUGUGAAAUUUCGGGGCUCAACCCCGAACUUGCAGUGGGUACGGGCAGACUAGAGUGUGGUAGGGGAGACUGGAAUUCCUGGUGUAGCGGUGAAAUGCGCAGAUAUCAGGAGGAACACCGGUGGCGAAGGCGGAUCUCUGGGCCUGUCCUGACGCUCAGGCGCGAAAGCUAGGGGAGCAAACAGG
rnacentral:rRNA from 1 species